GCUGGCGGCAGGCGUAUCACAUGCAAGUCCAACGGUAGCACAGAAAAGCUUGCUCUCUGGGUGACGAGCGGCGNACGGGUGAGUAAUGUCUGGGAAUNUGCCUUAUGGAGGGGGAUAGCUACUGGAAACGGUAGCUAAUACCGCAUGAUGUCUCAAGACCAAAGUGGGGGACCUUCAGGCCUCACGCCAUCGGAUGUGCCCAUAUGGGAUUAGCUAGUAGGUGAGGUAAUGGCUCACCUAGGCGUCGAUCCCUAGCUGGUCUGAGAGGAUGACCAGCCACACUGGAACUGAGACACGGUCCAGACUCCUACGGGAGGCAGCAGUGGGGAAUAUUGCACAAUGGGCGCAAGCCUGAUCCAGCCAUGCCGCGUGUGUGAAGAAGGCCUUAGGGUUGUAAAGCACUUUCAUCGAGGAGCAAGGCGUAGCAGUUAAUAGGUGCAGCGAUU
rnacentral:rRNA from 1 species